rnacentral:rRNA from 1 species
GCAAGUCGAGCGGUAACAGAGAGUAGCUUGCUACUUUGCUGACGAGCGGCGGACGGGUGAGUAAUGCUUGGGGACAUGCCUUGAGGUGGGGGACAACAGUUGGAAACGACUGCUAAUACCGCAUAAUGUCUACGGACCAAAGGGGGCUUCGGCUCCCGCCUUUAGAGAAGCCCAAGUGGGAUUAGGUAGUUGGUGAGGUAAAGGCUCACCAAGGCGACGAUCCCUAGCUGGUUUGAGAGGAUGAUC